AACGCACCUUGCGCCCUUUGGUAUUCCGAAGGGCAUGCCUGUUUGAGUGUCAUUAAAUUCUCAACCUCCCCUUCUUUCAUUAGGAGUGCGGUGGAUUGGAUAUGGGGGUUUGCUGGUUUCUCUAUUGAAAUUAGCUCCCCUGAAAUACAUUAGCUGGUUGCCUUGUGUAAACUUGUCUAUUGGUGUGAUAAUUAUCUACGCCGUGGACUAUUUGCCGUUUUUAGCACUGCUUAUAAUCGUCUGUUCAUUCGGACAAUAUAUGACAAUUUGACCUCAAAUCAGGUAGGACUACCCGCUGAACUUAA
rnacentral:rRNA from 1 species